AACGAACGCUGGCGGCAGGCUUAACACAUGCAAGUCGAGCGCCCCGCAAGGGGAGCGGCAGACGGGUGAGUAACGCGUGGGAAUCUACCCAUCUCUACGGAAUAACGCAUGGAAACGUGUGCUAAUACCGUAUACGUCCUUCGGGAGAAAGAUUUAUCGGAGAUGGAUGAGCCCGCGUUGGAUUAGCUAGUUGGUGGGGUAAAGGCCUACCAAGGCGACGAUCCAUAGCUGGUCUGAGAGGAUGAUCAGCCACACUGGGACUGAGACACGGCCCAGACUCCUACGGGAGGCAGCACUGGGAAAUAUUGGACAUUGGGCGCAAGCCUGAUCCAGCCAUGCCGCGUGAGUGAUGAAAGCCCUAGGGUUGUAAAGCUCUUUCACCGGUGAAGAUAAUGACGGUAACCGGAGAAGAAGCCCCGGCUAACUUCGUGCCAGCAGCCGCCGUAACAC
rnacentral:rRNA from 1 species